AUGUGCGGCCACAGAGGGCUUCCUGGUACUUGCCCCUCCUUUAGACAUUCUGACCCUCCUGGUCCCACUGCAGGUGGAGCCUGUCCAGAAAAGGCACCCUUGUUGUCAGUGAUCGACCCAGAAAGGCCAGAAGACUCAGGGCCAAGACGAUGCAGCUUCUUCUCCCAAACCCGCCAUGCUGAUGACCAGUACACCCACUGCUGCAGCUGCCCUGUCCUAACUCCCUGGGAUGCCUCUUCUCCAGGGAUCACGCUCCCUCCUGCCUCCCUCCCCUCUUCCCUAGUAGUCGGCUAUAGGUGAGAGCUGAUGCUUUUGCUUUUUGUACCUUUUAUACUUAUCGUAUACACUCUCCAAUACUGUGUGCUUCCUGGUGACUCAUGGUAAAGAAUCAGCUGCUAAUGCAGGAGAUACAGAUUUUCUUUUUUCUUCUUUUGGGUUUUCUUUUUUUUUUUUAAUUAAUUUAUUAUAAUUGGAGGCUACUUUACAUUAUUGUGGUGGUUUUUGCCGUACAUUGACAUGAAUCAGCCAUGGUUAUACAUGUGUCCUCUGUCCGAACCCCCUCCCACCUCCCUCCCCAUCCCAUCCCUCUGAGUUGUCCCAGUGCACCAGCUGUGAGUGCCCUGUUGCAUGCAUCGAACUUGGACUGGCGAUCUAUUUCACGUAUGGUAAUAAUACACAUGUUUCAAUGCUGUUGUCUCAAAUCAUCCCACCCUCACCUUUCCCCAUAGAGUCCAAAAGUCUGUUCUUUAUAUCUGUGUUUCUUUUGCUGUCUUGCAUAUAGGGUCAUCAUUACCAUCUUUCUAAAUUCCAUAUAUAUGCACCUGUUUUUCUUUCUGACUUACUUGACUCUUUAUGAUAGGCUCCAGUUUCAUCUACCUCAUUAGAACUGACUCAAAUUCGUUCUUUUUAAUAGUUGAGUAAUAUUCCAUGGUGUAUAUGUACCACAACUUUCUUAUCCAUUAGUCCGCCGAUGGACAUCUAGGUUGCUUCUAUGUCCUGGCUAUUGUAAACAGUGCUGUGAUGAAUGUUGGGGUACAUGUGUCUCUUUCAAUUCUGGUUUCCUUGGUGUGUAUGCCCAGCAGUGGGAUUGCUGGGUUGUAUGGCAGUUCUGUUUCCAGUUUUUUAAGGAAUCUCCACACUGUUCUCCAUAGUGGCUGUACUAGUUUGCAUUCCCACCAACAGUGUAAGAGGUUUCCCUUUUAGGAG
rnacentral:lncRNA from 1 species